rnacentral:rRNA from 1 species
GUAGGGAAUAUUGCACAAUGGGCGAAAGCCUGAUGCAGCAACGCCGCGUGCGCGAUGAAGGCCUUCGGGUUGUAAAGCGCUUUUCGGGGAGAUGAGGAAGGACAGUAUCCCCGGAAUAAGGCUCGGCUAACUACGUGCCAGCAGCCGCGGUAACACGUAGGAGCCAAGCGUUAUCCGAAUUCACUGGGCGUAAAGCGCGUGCAGGCGGCUUGGUAAGUUGGAUGUGAAAUCUCCUGGCUCAACUGGGAGAGGCCGUUCAAUACUGUCAAGCUAGAGGUCGGCAGAGGGAAGUGGAAUUCCAGGUGUAGUGGUGAAAUGCGUAGAUAUCUGGAGGAACACCAGUGGCGAAAGCGGCUUUCUGGGCCGCACCUGACGCUCAGACGCGAAAGCUAGGGGAGCGAACGGGAUUAGAAACCCCAGUAGUCC